GCCAGGCGCGGUGGCGGGCGCCUGUAGUCCCAGCUACUCAGGAGGCUGAGGCAGGAGAAUGUCGUGAACCCGGGAGGCGGAGCUUGCAGUGAGCCAAGAUCNCGCUCUGUCACCCAGGCUGGAGUGCAGUGGCGCAAUCUCGGCUCACUGCAAGCUCCGCCUCCCGGGUUCACGCCAUUCUCCUGCCUCAG
rnacentral:SRP_RNA from 1 species